UUUUUUUUUUUUAAAGUUCAUAACCUCCAAAGGUAUUAAUCUAGACUAGAGUGAAACUAUAGAUUAUAUCCCUCGGGUGGAGUCGAAAUCAUUCUUACUCGUAGAAUUUUCACUACUAGGAUCCCUUCAUAGCCAUGGGUACUAAUCAUUCCCAUCUGGUACUUGAUUGCUUUGUAGCGGACCUAGCCGAUUGCUAAGUACUUUCUCUUUCGAAACUUUGGGCAAUUCAAAAACUUAUACUCGGUAAUACCGCACUUCAGACAUUCUCCUUGUUUCCUCCAAUACUCGGCCUCAGAGUA
rnacentral:lncRNA from 1 species